UACAGAGGGCGCAAGCGUUGUUCGGAAUUAUUGGGCGUAAAGCGCGUGUAGGCGGCUUGGCAAGUCGGGUGUGAAAUCCCUCAGCUCAACUGAGGAAGUGCGCCCGAAACUGCUUGGCUUGAGUACCGGAGAGGAUGGUGGAAUUCCCGAAGUAGAGGUGAAAUUCGUAGAUAUCGGGAGGAACACCGGUGGCGAAGGCGACCAUCUGGACGGAUACUGACGCUGAGACGCGAAAGCGUGGGUAGCAAACAGG
rnacentral:rRNA from 1 species